GAUGAACGCUGGCUACAGGCUUAACACAUGCAAGUCGUGGGGAAACGGCAUUAUGUGCUUGCACAUUCUGGACGUCGACCGGCGCACGGGUGAGUAUCGCGUAUCCAACCUGCCCCUUACUUGGGGAUACCCCGUUGAAAGACGGCCUAAUACCCGAUGUGUUUCAUUGACGGCAUCCUAUAUGAAACAAAGGUUUUCCGGUAAGGGAUGGGGAUGCGUCUGAUUAGCUUUUUGGCGGGGCAACGGCCCACCAAGGCGACGAUCAGUAGGGGUUCUGAGAAGAAGGUCCCCCAUGUUGGAACUGGGAGUGGGUUCUGACUCCUACUGAAUGCUUAGUUUAGGAAUAUUGGUCGUUGGUCGCUUGGCUGUACCGUUCAUUUAUUGGGUGGGUUGAUGGCCCUGCUUUUACUGACUGAUGUUAUGUUGUUUGAAUUGGGCUUGGUGGGGGUGGGGGUGUUUUGUGUGUUUGAGACUGUUGUGAUCCAUAUUUUCUUGCGUUUUUGUGUGUGGUGGUGUUUUGUUUUUGUUUAUGGUGUGUGGUGGUGUUUGAUGUGUGUUGGUGGUGUUGUUGCCAUGUUGCGCAUCGUUAGUGCUGUGUUGUUAUUUGCUUGUGGUGUUUUCCUUGUGGUUGUGGUGUGCUGUGUUGUUGGUAUGUUUGUUGGUGGUGUUCUGCUGUGAGUGUAUGUGUGGUUGUGUGUGUGUAUGAGUUGUAGUGUGUGUGUGUUUUGUGUGAUGUUUUUGUCUGAUACUGAUGUUAUUGGCGUUUUCUGUGUGUUUUUGUGUCUGUGUGCUCGUAUUAGUAUGUGUGUUGAUUGUUGUGUUAGGCUAGUCGUGUAGUGAUGCUGUCAUGCUGAUCUGCGCUAGUUACUGUGGUAGAAAAUAUAUAGAAAAAAUUAAGAAAUUAUUGUAAUGAUGUAUGUUUUGUUGUUGCUAGUACGUAUAGCUGAUACUUUGUUUUGAUUUAGGCUUGUCUUGAGUGUUUAUAGUUUGCUUAUGUAGAUGAAUGCUGAUCAUAUAUUUGUCAUGUGUAAUGAGUUAUACACAUGUGAAUAUGUGAUAGAGGAUAUAUUAGUAGUAUGCCUGUGAUGCC
rnacentral:rRNA from 1 species